GAUUCUCUUUAUCUUUAAGAUGCUGUCAGAGACCUUCAGUCUGUUUGUGGCUUUCAUUCUGGUCACAAUCAGAGGUGUCAGCUGUGAACAACUGACUCCAGUCAAGGAUGAAGAGUUCAGUUCAGAAGGCAGCUCUGUUACUCUGUCCUACACAUACUCCAAAAAAGCAACUAAUGAAUAUUUCUACUGGUAUCGACAACAUCCAGGAAAACCACCACAGUUCCUCAUCUCUCACACAGGGAAAGGACAACUAUCAUCAGAUCCAGUCUCUGGACUGACUGUUACUGUGAGUCGGGAUCAAACCCAAAUGGAUCUGCAGAUCUCCUCUGCUGCAGUGACAGACUCUGCUGUGUACUACUGUGCUGUGAGGCCCACAGUGACAGGAAACAGCACAACUCUGUACAAAAACACAAGCUGA